GACAGAGGGGGCAAGCGUUGCUCGGAAUUACUGGGCGUAAAGGGCGCGUAGGCGGUUCGGUAAGUCGGGUGUGAAAACUCUGGGCUCAACCCAGAGCCGCCACCCGAUACUGCUGUGACUUGAGUUCGGUAGGGGAGCGGGGAAGUUCCUGGUGUCAGGCGGUGAAAUGACGCAGAUAUCAGGAGGAACACCAGUGGCGAAGGCGCCGCUCUGGGCCGAGACUGACGCUGAGGAGCGAAAGCGUGGGUAGCAAACAGG
rnacentral:rRNA from 1 species